rnacentral:rRNA from 1 species
AAAGCGCACGUAGGCGGACUGGAAAGUCAGAGGUGAAAUCCCAGGGCUCAACCUUGGAACUGCCUUUGAAACUCCCAGUCUUGAGGUCGAGAGAGGUGAGUGGAAUUCCGAGUGUAGAGGUGAAAUUCGUAGAUAUUCGGAGGAACACCAGUGGCGAAGGCGGCUCACUGGCUCGAUACUGACGCUGAGGUGCGAAAGCGUGGGGAGCAAACAGGAUUAGAUACCCCUGU